rnacentral:lncRNA from 1 species
GCUAAUGAAAACAGAGUGAUGAGCAGAGCAGUGGCUAGAUCUUCAGUUCAAUUCUUCUGUUGUUUGUAUUAAUAGAUGACAUCUUCUGAAAAUUUCUUAAUAAUUAUAUUUGGCAUUUAAGAAACAAAAUACAAUUGUCUUUUCCUAUAUUUUUAAGUCUAUUUAAAUUUUUGACUUACAAGCUAACUUAUCUUUAUUUCUCUAAUCCUAGGCAUCCACUAAAAACAGUCUCUAUUAGUGUAUAUUUUGCAAGUAAUCAAAAUCACAGUAACUGAGGAAAAUUAGGACAAGCCUAAUAGUAGCCAAGCUCUAAAUAGGCUUUAAAAUAAAAAUAGGAUAUGUGACUCAGAAUACAGUACUAGUUCUUCAUCUUACAGAUGUUCUCAGCCAUCGGAGUCAGCGUGGGCUAUGACACUGGUAAGUGUGGGUGAAAUGGGUAAAAUUUUGGAGAGAAUGAUAGGCUUUUUUUUCAGACUAUCUUCCAAUUACCUCAUAUUACUUUAUGUUUUACAGAAUGUACAGAAAACUUUGCCUACUCAUUUCUUAUUUGCCUUAAUAGCAAGCUUUAAGUGAGCCUUAAAUUAGUAAUAGAAUUGCCUCCCUCUUCUAAUGGCAUUUUAGGUUUAUACAAAACCCAUCUCAGGAAACAAGUGUCUGGCUUUAGUUACUUAUCAGCUGAGUGGCUACCUCAUUAAACAAAAUUCACUAAUGAUUUCUGUCAUGACACGCCAUUCAUUGGGCCAACAAGAUAGAAAAGACAGCAUCUCUGACCACGGAAGGGACAUGACAGAAAUGCUGUCAUGAUAUUUAUAUUCCACCUACUCGAAAGACCAAUUGAGAAACUCCAUAUGGACUCCAGUUUGCCACUAGCCCACAGAAUUGAAGUUUCUUAGCUGGCUUAAAUUAAGAAUUUUGGGUAAGUGUAAAACUUUGCAUAUAUUUAUUUUCAUAAAUCUAGGCAGUUUAUUUUCAUGUAGUUCUUUUCAUCCUACCCAAUUCUCUUUUAGUUGACACAAUAGGCAAAGGAAAUACAUUCUUAGAAAGCUUGUAAGAAGAGAGGGCCAGGUAUAAUAGGAGAAAGUAAAAGAACAUUGCUUGAUAGCUCUAAUCUAAGGUGUAUUAGUUAGGAAAAGGUAUGUACACCUAGUUUAGAACAAUAAGAAAAAGAAGGUAGCCUCCAUUGAGGUAGAUUGGCUGAUUUGAAUUAUCUGAAACCCCUUCCUCUCACUUCUCAACAUUGGCCAAAUGGCAGGUGGUACAAGUCCAGUUCCCCAGUAAGUUCCUGUAAACAAAACUACUUAUUUAUAGACAGCUUCUCAGUACUGUUUUUCAGGAGCUCAGUCAGAACGCAACUCAGAGCCACAUCAACUGCAAAGAAAAAUAAAGAUAUAAAAUCCUGUUUUGAAAAAUUUGCUUUACAACUCGAAUGAGGUCCGCCAUGUAUUUGGGGGGAUCUUCAGCAUCAUGGCUUGAGAACAGGUUUAAAGAAACAUAGAAAUAAGCCCCAUGAACUCCUGCAUUGGAGCAAAAAGAAAAUACGGCUGACAUCAUGGAAAACUGCCAGCAGAGUUAAGCAAAAUUUGAAAUAUCUACUUCUCCUUUCUAUUCUUUCUUCUUUCUUCUUUCUAUAGGGCAUUCAUUGGAAUCAGCUUCGAUGGAGGAAUAACUGAACCACUGUGUAUACAGACAGAUCAUAAAGCGGUGAACUGGGCUAUUGAAAUACUGAAGCUUUCCCAAAAAACUUUUGCCAUAUUUAUUUAUAUAAUGCAAAGUAAAAUAGUAAUAUCUUUCUUUCAAAAAA